UCAAAUCCGGGGGUCUGGAUUUGGUGCCACUAAAAGAAAAACAAUUUAAAACCUGUAUUUUCGAAAGAAAUUAAAACAAGUAUUUCAAAACCUGAAUAUAUAAAAAAAAUGAUUUAAAUUAAAACUCAAUUUCACCCCCUUUAAAAUAGGAUCGCAAACAGGUUAUAGUAUUGAAAUCAGAAAACAAAACUACAGAUCUUAUUACAGCUUGAACUAUAUUAUCAACUAGACCUCGAUAUGAAGGAUAACCAAUAUCCAAUUUAACAAAUCUAUUCUUUUACAACUAAACCAAAUUUAGUCAACUCCAAUUACCACUAGUCCCACAGACACGAUCUUGAUUACUCUUCCUGACCAUCAGGUUGAAACUUAAUCACUUGCAAUCCUCGCCUAGCCUUACUCUUACGCUUAGCAUAAAUAGGCGAACCAUCUUUAACAUUAUCUGAAAGGGGUUAGAAGAAAUAGCAAGAAUGAGCAAAAGAAUGCUCAGCAAGUAUAUUAGUUAAAAAGAAACAGGAGUUAAUGCAGAGAAAGUAAUUGAACUGGAAGUAUACAAAACAACAUGCUUUUAACUUGAAACCAAAACAAUUCAAAAGUAUAUAUGAAUUUCCAAAGCAUUCAGAUAUAUUGGACGUUAAUAGUCACCGUAGAUGAUCAGUCUACAGUAACCCGGACAAUGGUUACGCAUUGCCCUAAAAUAAAAUGUUCCGGAACUGAAGACUAGCUAGGUCUCCAUAUAACGCUGGGCCAAGGGCCUCUUAUGCAAACAAAACAAUAGGCUGGGCAUAGACCUCUUACGCAAAGCUGGGCAUCGGCCUCUUACGCAAACAAAACAAUAGUCCAAUGAUUAUAUCUGAAUUUUUCUUUUACUUCCCAGUUCCAAAAAUUUCAAUGUAAUUUAAGUGUCUCAUUUGGAAGGAUAAUAAGUACUAUUCCCAUAAAGCAUUCAUUAAUCGUUCCAAUUCAAGUUUUAGGAAAGACUUUUUCCCAAGGUACAAGUGUUAAAUAAAAGCAGUAUUCAUAGAGAAAGAUGGGUUAGAUAUACUUGCUUUUAAAUAAAGAAGUAGCAUAGGAAUACUUGCAGUAAUUUCAAGUUAAGAAUAGAAUUACUCGCAAGAAAGCUUGAGAGAAAUUAAUCUAUCAAUAUCAUGAUUGAACAAAAUAUCUCACUUGAACAAUAAGUGAAGAGUUAUAGUACUUGCCUCAGUUCUGCUGAUUUUCACACCAAUUAAUUUCUACCGGACUAUCUCACAGCACAGCUUCGUCUUAAGGAACUAUUCCUGAUUAAAUUCACAAAGCUAUUCAACUACUUCUGAAUGUCCUUGAUAUACAAGUCUCGGUUGAUUCUCCACGAGUAACACGGUACUUCGGUUGUCGAUGCCGACGGAGUUAACUAAUAUCGAAUAACGUAUAAAAUCCGUAAUUAGCUACCCUUCGUAAAUCCAUAUACAUACCACAUAGUCAGAUAAACACAUAGCACAUAGUUGAACAAUUAACUUUUAUAGCUAUUAAAAGUCAAUAUUGAUAAGUUAACAAAUAACAUGUUUCAAUCAACCAUGUUACCUUAUUCUUAACUAUUUAAUAUCCUUCAACAAGUAAAACAUAUAUAAUUUCUAUCGAAAAUUCGGCAGCAUCUCCUCUAUGUAUCGGACUAUCCACCUGUUUCCCUAUACUAUGCAACAAGUAAUCAACUCAAUCCACUCAAUAAACCAAUCAUAUAACAUCAACCAUUACUCAUUGACUGGAUUUAAAUAAUUAGCAAACUCUGAAAUCAUAUGCUAAAUCAUAAGCCAAUAAUUCAACUUUUUAACCAAAUAUUUCUCAAAGAUCUUUAUAAAUAUAUUCCAGAGGUCGCGGAAAUUUCAACCCAACUCAUAGAUUUAAACUUGCAAAAACAAUUCUCUUUGUAACAGCAAAACAGAAUUUUCACAAGUAUGUGCUACCGACAUUCAAACAUUUUUAAUAAAUCAAAAAUACAAGUUUUUCACUUGAAAUUUUUAUGAGACCUCCCUAAACUCGCUGACUAACUACAAAAUAAGUUUUGACUUGAAAAUCAAAGUUUAAGUAAUUAAACUAUAAUUUAGAAAGUCGAAAAGUGAAGCAGUUUUGUACUCUGCGCAUACCAUAAUAAAACUAUCAUAUCUCCUAGCUCGCUAAUCGAAUCGAUUCGAUUCUUUCGCGCACAUAAAGUAGACUCUGAGAAGAUCAUGAAUCUCUGAAAGUCUGAUUUUAAAAAUGAUCUUAAGCUGUUCGAAAAAGAGCUCCAAACAGAGGCAGCGCUGCUGCGAAAACUUGACUUCAAAUGACUCGAUAAUUUAUAAACAAUUUCAUAUUAAUCACAACUCUUACUAAUUUAUUCAAUUCAAUAUAACACACAUAACAUAACAAUUUCUUCCCAACAAUUACAAAUUUAGAGUGUAAUUAAACCCCUAAUUCAUAUGAACCCAUGUACACAAUUAAUUCCCAAUCGAGUAAACAUUAUCCCAAUUAGUCUAUAAUCACGUAGUUAAUUAAAUCAAACUCUAAAUCAAAGCAAUUCUCAACUAAUGCAAAGCAAGUGUAUAUACACAUAUAUAUACAUUUAUACAACUGAUUGGUCUCAAAAUUGGCUAACUUAAUCAAUUCAAAUCGUAGCGAACACAGCACAACAUAUAUACACAUACAUAUAUAAACUGAUUUUAUAAAGAAGAAUGGAUUUAUACCCACUGAUUUAUAACUGGUGCAGGGCUAUGGUGGUCGCCGGAAGAGGAAGAAAUAGGCGGUGUUGGUUCUGGCCGGAAAAGGAAGCGGCGGCAGAGAAUCCCGAUGGAAUAUGGCGACCGUACGUACAGAGGCGAGAGAUGGAGGGAAGUGUGCAGGGAGAUGGUAGCGAGAGACCGAAGGAAUGGCGUGAGAUUGGGGAGAUAUUUGCGAGAGAAAGUAGUCCCCCGAAUACUGUGAUUUAACGAGAGAGAUGAGGUUUCACAGGGAAUAAAAGGAAAAGGGUUUACAGGGGUGUAUACGUGGCUGAAGGAAGAGAAGUGUGGAGACACGCGGAUAAAUUUUAAGCUGCCAACUAUUUUAUUAAACUGAGUAAGCAAUUAACUUCUACCCGCUUUCAACUAAUUUACGUAGAUUACUUGCAAUAAAAUUUCUCCCGACAACUACCAAAAUAUUUUUAUAAACCCCGGAAUAUUAUAAAACUAAUCAAAUAAAAGUUUCCGGAUUUAUAGAGCAUUUUCGGAAUUUAUACAAAAUUUAGAAGUUAGCUGCGUUCAGAAACUAAUUAAAAAUCAUGUCCUUAUAGAAAUA
rnacentral:lncRNA from 1 species